rnacentral:rRNA from 1 species
AUUGAACGCUGGCGGUAUGCUUAACACAUGCAAGUCGAACGAUGAGAAAGAGCUUGCUCUUUCGAUUAGUGGCGGACGGGUGCGUAACGCGUAGGAAUCUACCUAUUAGUGGGGGACAACUUAGGGAAACUUAAGCUAAUACCGCAUACGCGCUACGGGGGAAAGAAGGGGAUCGCAAGACCUUUUGCUAAUAGAUGAGCCUGCGUAGGAUUAGCUAGUUGGUGGGGGAAAAGCUCACCAAGGCGACGAUCCUUAACUGGUUUGAGAGAAUGAUCAGUCACACUGGAACUGAGACACGGUCCAGACUCCUACGGGAGGCAGCAGUGGGGAAUAUUGGACAAUGGGCGAAAGCCUGAUCCAGCAAUACCGCGUGUGUGAAGAAGGCCUUAGGGUUGUAAAGCACUUUCAAUUGGAAGGAAAACCUCGAAGCUAAUACCUUCGAGUUUGACAUUACCUUUAGAAGAAGCACCGGCUAACUCCGUGCCAGCCGCCGCAGUAA